rnacentral:rRNA from 1 species
UUUUAUGGAGAGUUUGAUCCUGGCUCAGGAUGAACGCUGGCGGCGUGCCUAAUACAUGCAAGUCGAGCGAACGGACGAGAAGCUUGCUUCUCUGAUGUUAGCGGCGGACGGGUGAGUAACACGUGGAUAACCUACCUAUAAGACUGGGAUAACUUCGGGAAACCGUAGCUAAUACCGGAUAAUAUUUUGAACCGCAUGGUUCAAAAGUGAAAGACGGUCUUGCUGUCACUUAUAGAUGGAUCCGCGCUGCAUUAGCUAGUUGGUAAGGUAACGGCUUACCAAGGCAACGAUGCAUAGCCGACCUGA